rnacentral:lncRNA from 1 species
UCUGGCAGAGGCAACUUGCUGCUGCAAUUUAUUAAAAAAAUAAAAUAAAAAUAAGCAGAAAGUAAAUAAUACACAGAAAAACAAAACAAUAUUCAGUUACGACAAGGCAACAUGUAUCUCUAUCCUCUUUCCCGAGCUACGGAACCUUACGUUAAGAGCACUGCACGACAUGUGCACAGGUUUUCGUCUACACUGCCGUCACGUGACGUUUAUCUCCCCUGUCACGUGGUUUUCGCCCGACUGCCGUUCUUCCUACUAUCUUUAUACGCAAAAUUUAUAUCAAUAAUAAUAAAAAAAAAUGAUCUGUUUAAUCUUUUCUCGUUAGUAAAAAAUAAAUAAAAUAGCGUAGCC